UGAACAAUUUCCCAGCACAUCCUGCAGCCUGUUCCAAAGACAGCACAUUGGCACAGUUACUCCUGCAGGGUUAACAGGCCCAUGUUCACACACAGCAGGGCUCAGAGAACAGCAGCCACUUGCUGCAAGCUCCUCAGAGGGCCAGAACUCAUCUCCAGGCUCACAGCCUGAUGGAAGAAGCCCCCACACAAACGGGGGUUUCUCUCAGCAAGUAGCAGCCCAGCACACAGGUUUGCUGCCUGAGGCAUUCCAACAGCACUUUCUCCAGAGGCAAAAGGAGGAGCUCCUCUCUUCCAGGCUUUCCAAUUGGACACAAGCAUUAUGCAAUGGCCACCAAAAUACAAACACUCAGAGUGGAUCAAAUUCAAAGGAAACGGAAAAAUUCAGUUCAGGCACACUGGUAUUCCAUACAUUUUUAUAAAUGAGUGACAAUUCUACACCUGUAGCAGGUUCCACAUUGAAAUCUACACUGCCAAGAUGCAGACACAAAUCCCUGGUUCUCCAGAUCUUAAAAUGUUCACAGGACAUUGCACACUUCAAAAUAAGCUGUGGCAUUCUGGCAAAACAGAAGUCUCUCUGCUAUGGCAGCAACACACCUGAAGGCAGCAACUGACUUUUCAAAGAGCUGAAAUUUCAACCCUGGUAUUUCAAGAACAGUUACUUUUGAUCACCAAGGACAAUUUCUUCAACUUCUUUGAUGAAGACUUCUGCUGAAGGCUGAAAGACUUCCCAAAUACCUGUUUGUCCUGAUAUGCAUCAGGAAUUAUUGAUAUUGGCUUGACAAAAUUUCUAAAAUAUACAUAUUUUUAACACAAUACAUUUAUUCUUUUUAGAGAAGAAUUGUUUUCUUCAGCAAAGGUAUUUGCAGAUCAAUAAUUCAGAGAGAAAAUCCUUACAAAUUAUAACUUAAAAAUCCUGAGCUAAAUGAAACGUUUAAUUAAGAGCUGCUUUCUUUUAUAGCCAUCAUCAAAGGAAAUUUACAAUUAUGGCCCUUACAUUUGUUUUGUAGAAGUCAAAUAUUAGGAAAAAGCAUUCAGAUGUGCUCUGCACACAUACCUGCUGGUAAUAUAAAUAACAAGAAAGCAGCUAUUAAAUCAAUAUAUAAAAAAUAUAUUUGAGAAAUGUUCAUUUUUGAGUACAUAAAUCUGUCAAAACAAAGUGCAUGCUUUACUCACACAAAGCUCCCAAAUCAACCAUUUGAAAGCACCACUGGCUGUGCUCUGCCUGUACAAAUCUUGUGGUGAACCAGGGUGGUGUGCAUUUAACUGGCAAUGCUCCAGGGGAAUGUCAGCACUCCAGGGGAUUUCCCAGACGUACAGAAAGCAACUGGGGAGCACCUCGGGCUGUGGAUUCCCUGCCAGCUGUAUCCAGGCUGGGAGAGCUUGUCAGUUAAAGGAAACCCUCCAGCCAUGGCCUGAUUUGGUAACAGACAGAUAGUCCUAAAUCUUCUGUUUUGUAAAACAAGUUUUGCAGAAGCAAGAGAAUAACCAGAGCAAAGUCUGAUGUUAUUAGUGUUAUUAUUAUACUGACUUUCCUGCCCUUCACAUGUGCAAGGAGUGGGUAUGUGUGCAAACACAAGAGUAGUGAUUUGUUCUGUUGUGGUAACUAAACGUUACUGAAUGAACGUUAAAUGCUGAACAAGAACCUGACUCCUGCUCCUCAUCUUCUCCUAAACAUCCCUCCUACAAGGAAUAGACUCUGGGGACUGGUUUCCCUCAAUAGGAACAUCUGGUAACAGACGUUAUGCUUGUUAGUUCUCAUUCUGCAGUGCAGUUGGAAGGCACUGUUAGAAUAACGGAACAUUAGUGCUGGAAACAAUCAACGACCUUUUCUCCCCUAAUUUCCCAUGGUGAUGGGACUGGCUUUCAGCAAACCUGAUUUCAAGCUGCUUCUCUGACAGAGAGGAAUGUUCUAACCUUUAGUGCCUCCAUGCCAGCCUGGAUAACUGGAGCGAAGAUGGUCUCACUCUCGUUAGUAUCUGCAAACAACUCUGGAAUCUGGUCCAACAAGCUAUGAAAGAGAAAGGAUCAGUGUCUCAACUGGUCAGUGUAAGGCUCCCAGCCAGAAUAAAAGAAAAUAUGCAUUUUUUAUUUCCAUGAGAUGCAUUGUUUCAAAGCUUGUUACCUAAAGGAACAGGCAAUAAAUAAAAAAAAUAGCUAACCAUUAAGUAGUUCUGGUGUGCUGUAAGGACUUCAGAGUCCUAAGAUCAUACCCAGGCACACAUCAUGUGCAUUGCAAGAGGGAAAACACUAUGUGUCUCACACCUGGCCCACAUAACCUUUCCAGUUUGGCACCACAAGGCCACAGCUAUUGCUUUUUCUUUGCCUCAGAGGAGCAAACACAGGGCUUGAAGCAUCUGCAGGCUUCUGAAGUAUUUCAAUAGAUACCUGCAUGUCCACAAAUCCAACUGAUUAAAAGACAUAAUGCACAUCAUAAGCAUUCACAUCUUACUCUCAUGAAGUAUAAUUGUACUUUACUUGGUAACAACUGAUCGGGAUUCCUCAAAGUCAACAAGGAAGCCAUCCAGCAAAGGAACAAAAACUUCUGCCACAUCUGUGACCACCAUCAUCUGAGGCUGAGCUAAGCUGCUCUUUACAUUGAAGAAGUGGAGGACCUUGU